CGGAUACGAACCGGGGUUGCUGCGGAUUGAUUGAAAAUCGCAACAUUUUGGUGCCGUGACUCGGAUUGAUUUAAUAUAUCACAACAUUUUGGUGCCGUGACCCGGAUUGAUUUAAUAUAUCGCAACAUUUUGGUGCCGUGACUAGUGACCAGAAGAAGCGUGGAAGAUUUGUGACCCAAGAGUCUGCAGUGAAGCCCUGGAAGGAAGUGUGGAACCCUAGGACGGUGGUCUGGAAAUCUGUGACUGUGAACCUAAAAGGGUUGUUUUAUCUUCCAGGAAAAGAUCUUCAAGCAGAAGGAUAAAUGUGUCUGAAUUUUUUUUGGUCAUGUUAAACUUGUUUUUUUUUUUUUUUCUUCAUCUCACACUUAAGCAGCUUUUCAAAUUUUUUUAAUGACAGUAAAACAUUGGUAGAUGAGACCUAAAGGUUCCAAGUGGGGGUGUGAAGGAAUUUGCAUGACACAGAGGGAGAGGUGUUGGAUGUUGACACCACAGAAGUUUUUUGACUGGAUGCAGUAGUGCAAUGGGCUGGAUACUGUUUGAUGUCAAAAUAUAUUCUUCAGGCUUCUUCUAUAACUAAUGUUCUCCCACAAAUGUAAUAGAUCAAUGGGAUUUUUAAAGAAAAAAAAAUGAAUGAACUGUUCUGAUGUUUGUCAGUGUCUAAAUCAGUGCAGGAGUCUUAAGUGGGAAGAUGGAAAUGCAAUGAAAAGAACUCAUUAACAUACAAACAGGACAUUAUUUACAAAGUUUCAGGACUUGAAUGUCUACUUUUAAUUAAGUAACAUCCACCUUGUUAUUAUUCAGUGUUUUGUUUUAUUCAGUGUCUUUCUGUAUAUGUUUAUACUUUUCAAUGUAAAAAAAAAAAAAAAAAAAAAAUCCAGAGAAAGUGCAAAUAUUUUAGUGUUGCUAUACAUAUCUGUCUAGAGAUGCUAAACAAGGGCUCAUAUUUAGCAUGUAGUCCAUAGGGGGUGUUGGAAGCUAAAUGUACAGACAUGGGUGGAUUUAUAAAGAACACAUAUACUCAGAAUAUUGAUGUUUUGGCUGCAUAUUUGCAGGGAUAUAUCCGUUAAUAUUCUGACUAGAUCAGGUAAGGGUGAUAUUGUGUCCAAAGCUAGAGUUUGUGGCUAAAUGUGGGUUUUCUGAGAAAGAAAAAAAAA